AUACGGAGGGUGCAAGCGUUAUCCGGAUUCAUUGGGUUUAAAGGGUACGUAGGCGGAUAGAUAAGUUAGUGGUGAAAUCCCGAAGCUCAACUUCGGAACUGCCAUUAAAACUGUCUAUCUUGAAUUUGGUUGAAGUGGGCGGAAUAUGACAUGUAGCGGUGAAAUGCAUAGAUAUGUCAUGGAACACCAAUAGUGAAGACAGCUCACUAAGCCAAUAUUGACGCUGAGGUACGAAAGCAUGGGUAGCGAACAGGAUUAGAUAACCCCGGUAGUCC
rnacentral:rRNA from 1 species